UACGGGUAUAUCACGUUGAAACACCAGUUCUCAUACGAUCACCGAAAUUAAGCAACAGCGAGCCUGGUCAUAGAUGGGUGACCGCUUGUGAAUACCAGGUGCUGUAA